CCCGACGGGAUUCUUGCGCCUCUCCCUUCAGUGAAACGGCGCGGGGGCCCAGUGGCAGGUGGAGGAGACUGAGGUGGGGACGGGCGGGGCCUGCGCGGGGAGGGUACCCAGGUUCCUCGCUGCAGGGCCUCUGGGGAGCGUCCGGCUGGACUACAGCCCCAGUGUGGGAAGCCGCUGACCGCUCUACCCUGUACCUCCCGCAGGCUCAAGCGGGCUGGCUUCGCCAUUGGAGCUUACAUUUACCUCGACAAGGACGCAGAGCUGCUGGGGCUGCAGCAACGGCUGGGCCAGGGGAGGGAGGCAGUGGGCCUAGGCGGGCAGCCUGUGCCAGGCAAAGGUUCCGCGUCCUUCAGGCAGCACUAACCCGGCUGCAGCCCACGGGUCAGCUGGUCCUCCGGAGAAGCCAAACCUCCCUGGAGCCACGCCCUUGGGUCCCUUGCCCCUCCGCUGUGGUGAGACCCCCGCAGCGCCUGUCCUGGCCACCUGCACGCACCGUGGUGCAGAAGCACUCCGCCCUCCUUCCUCCUCCAGGGCCUGCAUGCUGUGGGUGCUCAGGGAACUCUGAAGGGAUGUAUGAAUGCACUGAAGGUGCCUGAGGAGGUGGCCCACUGCAGUCCACCAGCUCCCCUCCUCUGAGCUUAGGGCUCUGAGCCAGGACUCUAUUUACCGUCUUUCUUCCGGUCAGCGUUCACCUCCUUCUACCCCUUGUGUAGAUUCCACCCCCUCGUAACAGGGGUUAGGAGGAUUCCGCUCCCUCUUGGCAGAGACAUCGGUGAGUACUUCCCCUAUUGGGAGCACUUCUCUUCCGUGGGCACACAGGAAGGCCACAUUUCCCAGCCCCACUGCCGUGUAGUAGGCCAGGACCACAUGACUCCUCCUCUCUAGGUCACUUCUCCCGGGACAGCCUCUCUUCCCUCCUUCUUCCCUGCCUCUGAUCAGCAGCAAAGGAUCCAAAGGAGCCCAGGGAAGAAGCCAGGGCCAGGUGCUGGUCCCAAGGUGCCUGGAUCCCUGCAUCACCACGUGGAAGGCUACCCGCCCACCACGCGAACAGACUAAGACAUGAGGAGAGGAAAAUGUGUCCCUUCCCAGCCAAGGAUGUUAAAGAUCUGGUAUGCCUUCCCCAAACUCUCUUCUCCUUCCACUGUGACCCAGGGAGCUUCCAAGUGAAGAUAACAGCAUCAUGCGAACGAUCCCAGAGUUACCACUUGGGGAAGAGACUAACCGGGAACAUCUACAGGGACCGUACGAGCCUGAAGCAAAGCUUUAUGGUGUUCCACUGCUGUGAUCUGGGGCCUAUGUGUAAAAGCACUUGGCUUUUCACUAGCAUAUCACUCCCUUCCCCCUUUGUAUUCACCUGGCAAACCCCCACCCUAGGUGAACCCAGCCGGCUCCUUUUUACCUGCCCUUCUCAACUGCCACUGAAGAGCUGAAUGUUCCUCGAGAAUCUACUAUAGCUGGUUUAUCUGGUUUUACUUAAAUUCCUGAACAUGAGCCAAGGAGAACCCGCACACAGUCCUACUGCCUGUGCCAGGAAGCUGGUUUUUCUCAUCUGAGAUGACCAACUUGAACAUCUUAACUACGGAAUGGAGCCGCAUUUCCAGGACUGAGCUCUGAUGCCCAUAUUCUGGAAGCCCUGCGGGACUCAGAAACCACCGACUGGCCAGAUCGCUCAGGGGCUGCCGCAUCUGGUGCCGCAUCCGUUCUUUCUGCCCCUGGGGGCCCUUGGUAACCACAACCCUGCUUUACAGAGAGGCUGGCAGGAGCUUUGACCAGAAUUUAUGGUCUUCCUCCAACCUCCUCCCCUUCUCCGUUCUCCAACUGGUACCUGGUUCUACCUGGGGCUACUUUACAGGGGUGCAGCUGUCCCUUCCUUCUCCCCACCCAGGUCCCUGCUCAUAUCUUCAUUGCCUCCCUUCUCCAAAGAAAUUCAAUCUUAUAAAAGACAAAUUUCCAUUUUUAUUCAAAAUGGAUUUUUUUGCUCCAUCAAAAUACUUAAUAGCAGCUCCCUGCAGAAAAGUUGGGAAAUAUGAAAAAGAAAAAGAAAAAUUCCUACCAGGCAAGGUGUGGAAAAAAUGAGAGUUCCUGUGGCUAGGAUUCUCACCUGGCCCUGGCUG